AUAUAUCCCAAUUUUGAAGUGAAAAUAUAGCGCAAAUACAAAAAUUCUAUCUGAUACAAAAUUCAUUGAAUGUAUUGCCCGUAAAAAUGUAACGGAUCAAAUGAAACGUAUUCGUGUCGGUGUAUAGUAAAUUUCUUGGAUCACUUAUAAUAGUUAUGUCAAUUCUUGCAAACAGCGUCCAUGUUCCACCAGAGCGAAAGCAUGGCGAAUAGAUAUCACAUUAUUUCACAAGCAAGGGUCCUUCGAUUACACAAUCAAUUUAUUUUUGAAUCAGAGAAAAUCCUAUUGCCCAAGAGGAUAUUUAUUAAUUGCAAGAAAUAACGAGUCUGUGAGCUAUGAUCCCUCAUAUGGAGUUAUAAAACAAGAUACGCUGUAGAAUAUAGCCACGCUAACAUUGGCUAAAAAAGGACCAAUUACGCAUAAUACCAUUUGAUUCGAGGAUUAGUAUAAAUCAAAUCACACACAGAGACAACAAAUAAAUCCAUGGGUGCAAAGUAAUUACACGUUGCGGGAUAAGCUGCAGCUUUUUAAUUGGACGUCUUGAUAAGAGCUUAAAAGAGAAGCGCUGAUAGAGGGAGGGGCGGUUGUUAACGGAAGACGAGAACGAGCUCAGGAAAUUGGCCCUCAAGCCGGGCUCCAGACAUAUUUCAUAAAAAGAAAAAGGCGAGAGAGGAAAGCGAUAUGAUAUAAAUGAUGUAAGAUGGCAGUCAGAAUCAUUGUGGUUGUUUGGAUUCCAUUGAGCUCAAGGACAAUCAAGUCGGAAUAUCACGUGAUAAUUUCGGUGAAUUUUUUAAUUCUAUUCCAGCUUCGAAAGUAUUAAACUAAAUUUUAAAUUCGUCAAUAAGUAUAACUGCACGUCAAACUUAAAACUGUAUAAAGAUGUUCUUGUAAACUUACUGAUAAUAUACGUCGAAAAACUCGUUAUAUGAUGUAUUUGCCGACUAAUCGCAAUCUAACUAGCAAAGUAGAUCAUAAAAAUGUCCGAUGCUAGUUGAUGAAGUAGAAGAAUAACUUUAUUCCGCUCUAAUUCCUUUUUCCCCGUAGGCGAGUUCAAAACCGGCUCAAGGGUGUUUAUUAGAACCACGUUGUAAAUGGGAAGUUUAGUGCGCAUGUGCAGAAAGAGAAAAAGGCGAGAGAGAGAAGCGAGGAAAGAUUAGUUUUCAACUUCGCUUUCCAGAUGUCGAAGAAACUUUGAAAGAGAAGGCGGCAGAACGAAGAGAGAAUUUUCAAGACUGCUGAAUUUUUGCCUGGGUUCGAGAUACCCGUAAUAUUUCUCCGAAUCGAAGUCAAUGCUCAGAAAGUGAGCAAGCUUACAAGUUUGAAAUCGACAAUGCCUUAAUUAUUCACUACUAAAUAUGUCUGAAAUAUCAAAUAACGGUAUUUGUAGAAUUGAAAAAAAAUCGGGUCAACUUUUUGUGAAUGAUAGUGA